rnacentral:rRNA from 1 species
CCCAGACUCCUACGGGAGGCAGCAGUGGGGAAUAUUGCACAAUGGGGGAAACCCUGAUGCAGCGACGCCGCGUGAGUGAAGAAGUAUCUCGGUACGUAAAGCUCUAUCAGCAGGGAAGAAAAUGACGGUACCUGACUAAGAAGCCCCGGCUAACUACGUGCCAGCAGCCGCGGUAAUACGUAGGGGGCAAGCGUUAUCCGGAUUUACUGGGUGUAAAGGGAGCGUAGACGGCAGCACAAGUCUGGAGUGAAAUCCCGGGGCUUAACCCCGGAACUGCUUUGGAAACUGUGCGGCUGGAGUGCAGGAGGGGUAAGCGGAAUUCCUAGUGUAGCGGUGAAAUGCAUAGAUAUUGCGCAGAACUCCGAUUGCGAAGGCAGCAUACCGGCGGCGAUCUGACGCUGAGGCACGAAAGCGUGGGUAUCGAACAGGAUUAGAUACCCGCGUAGAA